UUUAUGGAGAGUUUGAUCCUGGCUCAGGAUGAACGCUGGCGGCGUGCCUAAUACAUGCAAGUCGAGCGAACGGACGAGAAGCUUGCUUCUCUGAUGUUAGCGGCGGACGGGUGAGUAACACGUGGAUAACCUACCUAUAAGACUGGGAUAACUUCGGGAAACCGGAGCUAAUACCGGAUAAUAUUUUAAACCGCAUGGUUCAAAAGUGAAAGACGGUCUUGCUGUCACUUAUAGAUGGAUCCGCGCUGCAUUAGCUAGUUGGUAAGGUAACGGCUUACCAAGGCAACGAUGCAUAGCCGACCUGAGAGGGUGAUCGGCCACACUGGAACUGAGACACGGUCCAGACUCCUACGGGAGGCAGCAGUAGGGAAUCUUCCGCAAUGGGCGAAAGCCUGACGGAGCAACGCCGCGUGAGUGAUGAAGGUCUUCGGAUCGUAAAACUCUGUUAUUAGGGAAGAACAUAUGUGUAAGUAACUGUGCACAUCUUGACGGUACCUAAUCAGAAAGCCACGGCUAACUACGUGCCAGCAGCCGCGGUAAUACGUAGGUGGCAAGCGUUAUCCGGAAUUAUUGGGCGUAAAGCGCGCGUAGGCGGUUUUUUAAGUCUGAUGUGAAAGCCCACGGCUCAACCGUGGAGGGUCAUUGGAAACUGGAAAACUUGAGUGCAGAAGAGG
rnacentral:rRNA from 1 species